ensembl:lncRNA PVT1 Pvt1 oncogene
GGGCCGGGCGGGCUCGGGGCGGCCGGGACGAGGAGGGGCGACGACGAGCUGCGAGCAAAGAUGUGCCCCGGGACCCCCGGCACCUUCCAGUGGAUUUCCUUGCGGAAAGGAUGUUGGCGGUCCCUGUGACCUGUGGAGACACGGCCAGAUCUGCCCUCCAGUGGGAAGUGAGUGAUGACCCUGAAGUGAGGACUCAUCUCUAGAUCUCCAAGGGCUGCAGCUCAGCCAGCACUUUACAAGGGUGAUCUGGAGCCAAACUGGCCUGUUGGCUGACCAUAGGUGACUCUGGGUAGCCCAUACCCAGGCUCAGCAGCAGUUGGGGAGCUGCCUCGAUUUCUGGUUACAGAAUUCCUGGAACUGAGUCACUGCAGUAAUUGCUGUGAUGAAUUGUGUUUACUUUGUGUGGGAUUCCAAACUGUAGCAGCAGUGACUACAGCUGGAAGACAGCAUGAUCAGCAGCUUCCAAGGCAGAGCCUGGCGUCAGAAAGCUGCAUUGCGCUAAUGCUGAAGCCUGUGGGAGCCUGUUGGAGAGACACUUGGAUGUUUAGCGAGCUGGUGACUCUCCUUGUCAUGAGCCUGAUCUUUUGGCCAGAAGGAGAUUAAAAAGAUGCCCCUCAAGAUGGCUGUGCCUGUCAGCUGCAUGGAGCUUCGUUCAAGUAUUUUCUGAGCCUGAUGGAUUUACAGUGAUCUUCAGUGGUCUGGGGAAUAACGCUGGUGGAACCAUGCACUGGAAUGACACACGCCCGGCACAUUUCAGGAUACUAAAAGUGGUUUUAAGGGAGGCUGUGGCUGAAUGCCUCAUGGAUUCUUACAGCUUGGAUGUCCAUGGGGGACGAAGGACUGCAGCUGGCUGAGAGGGUUGAGAUCUCUGUUUACUUAGAUCUCUGCCAACUUCCUUUGGGUCUCCCUAUGGAAUGUAAGACCCCGACUCUUCCUGGUGAAGCAUCUGAUGCACGUUCCAUCCGGCGCUCAGCUGGGCUUGAGCUGACCAUACUCCCUGGAGCCUUCUCCCGAGGUGCGCGGGUGACCUUGGCACAUACAGCCAUCAUGAUGGUACUUUAAGUGGAGGCUGAAUCAUCUCCCCUUUGAGCUGCUUGGCACGUGGCUCCCUUGGUGUUCCCCUUUUACUGCCAGGACACUGAGAUUUGGAGAGAAUCCUGUUACACCUGGGAUUUAGGCACUUUCAAUCUGAAAAAAUACAUAUCCUUUCAGCACUCUGGACGGACUUGAGAACUGUCCUUACGUGACCUAAAGCUGGAGUAUUUUGAGAUUGGAGAAUUAAGAGUGUGGGCACCCUGGCUUCAAGCUCACGAGAAACCAGAAGGAAGUCACUGUGCAUAGCCAUCCCCUAAGAAGAGGGCAUUCCUGCUCUUCCUUCUCCAUGGCUAGAGGAUCUACAUGAACUAUUUAGAUUUUUUCUACCUGGGAGAUUUAACUCCUCUCUCCUAUUUAUUUAUUUAUAUAUCAGCAUGGACUUGCAGGCCAACAGAGAUUUUGAGAAACACAUUGAAGGAUCUGUUAACACUUGAUAUACCCAAUAAAAGCAGUGGUUGUGCCAGUGCUGAUCUGUCUUGAUGUGAAUGUGAACAAUGGGAACCUGAGCUGAGCAGUUAAUGCUAGGGUGACAGAAACUGGACCUCUCCCAAGACAUGUGACAGAGUAAUACAGCAGCCAACUUCUUCGCCAAAUUAAAGUUUUACAAGAUUUAACCUGUCAUCAAGACCUGGGAUUUUGGUGAAGGACAGAAUAACGGGCUCCCAGAUUCACAAGCCCCACCAAGAGGAUCACCCCAGGAACGCUUGGAGGCUGAGGAGUUCACUGAGGCUACUGCAUCUUGAGACUCAGGAUGAAGACCCAGCUUGGGGCUGUCAAAGGUUUUUUGCAUGUCUGACACCCAUGACUCCACCUGGACCUUAUGGCUCCACCCAGAAGCAAUUCAGCCCAACAGGAGGACAGCUUCAACCCAUUACGAUUUCAUCUCUGCCCCAACCACUCAGCAGCAAGCACCUGUUACCUGUCCACCCCCACCCCUUCCCCCAAACUGCCUUUGAAAAAUCCCUAACCUAUGAGCUUUGAAUAAGAUGAGUACGAACUUCAUCGCCCACGUGGCGUGGCCGGCCUCGUGUCUAUUAAAUUCUUUUUCUACUAC